UAAGACCAUUAAUAGAGCUGCUAACUCUAUAGAAAUGUAAACCAUUUGGUCUUUA
rnacentral:tRNA from 1 species